ensembl:Y_RNA Y_RNA Y RNA
GGCUCAUCUGAAGGGAGUGAGUUAUUCAAUUGAUUGUUCACAGUUACAGAUAGCACUCUUUCUUCUACUCCCUCCGCCCUUCUCACUACUGCACUUGACGAGUCUUUU